AUUGAACGCUGGCGGCAGGCCUAACACAUGCAAGUCGAGCGGAUGACGGGAGCUUGCUCCUUGAUUCAGCGGCGGACGGGUGAGUAAUGCCUAGGAAUCUGCCUGGUAGUGGGGGAUAACGUUUCGAAAGGAACGCUAAUACCGCAUACGUCCUACGGGAGAAAGCAGGGGACCUUCGGGCCUUGCGCUAUCAGAUGAGCCUAGGUCGGAUUAGCUAGUUGGUGGGGUAAUGGCUCACCAAGGCGACGAUCCGUAACUGGUCUGAGAGGAUGAUCAGGCACACUGGAACUGAGACACGGUCCAGACUCCUACGGGAGGCAGCAGUGGGGAAUAUUGGACAAUGGGCGAAAGCCUGAUCCAGCCAUGCCGCGUGUGUGAAGAAGGUCUUCGGAUUGUAAAGCACUUUAAGUUGGGAGGAAGGGCAGUAAGUUAAUACCUUGCUGUUUUGACGUUACCGACAGAAUAAGCACCGGCUAACUCUGUGCCAGCCGCCGCAGUAGGAC
rnacentral:rRNA from 1 species